rnacentral:ncRNA from 1 species
AGGUAAGGGAAGUCGGCAAAACGGAUCCGUAACUUCGGAACAAGGAUUGGCUCUAAGGGCUGGGCCGAUCGGGCUGAGGUUUCAAGCGUGCAGUGUAUGCUUGGCUGAGUUGUGUUGAGGACUUGUUCACUUGCCGCCGUUUGUUCGGUUGGUCUAGUGUAUUCGAGUCUGAAGCAGAGCUGGCCGACAGACCGGCACGUGCAGAACCUGAGCUGCGCGGCUGUCCGUUUACGUGUACAGACCGUUUCGGUCGGCAUUCAACAGCCAACUUAGAACUGGCACGGACACAAGGAAUCUGACUGUAUAAUUAAAACAAAGCAUUGCGAUGGUCGAGUACUUCCGUUUAUUACGCUGAUGAGCUGUCUUGUUACCUGAUUCGGGAAGCUACCAGACUGCCCUACGU